AUUGAACGCUGGCGGCAUGCCUUACACAUGCAAGUCGAACGGACAUUUUUUGGAAAGUUCUUCGGAACCGGAAUCUAAAUGUUAGUGGCGGACGGGUGAGUAACGCGUGAGCAAUCUGCCUUUCAGAGGGGGAUAACGAGCCGGAAACGGCUAGCUAAUACCGCAUAAUGCAUUGGAUUCGCAUGUUUCUGAUUGCCAAAGAUUUUAUCGCUGAAAGAUGAGCUCGCGUCUGAUUAGCUAGUUGGCGGGGUAACGGCCCACCAAGGCGACGAUCAGUAGCCGGACUGAGAGGUUGGCCGGCCACAUUGGGACUGAGACACGGCCCAG
rnacentral:rRNA from 1 species